rnacentral:rRNA from 2 species
UACGUAGGGUGCAAGCGUUGUCCGGAAUUAUUGGGCGUAAAGAGCUCGUAGGCGGUUUGUCGCGUCUGCUGUGAAAACGCGAGGCUCAACCUCGCGCCUGCAGUGGGUACGGGCAGACUAGAGUGCGGUAGGGGAGAUUGGAAUUCCUGGUGUAGCGGUGGAAUGCGCAGAUAUCAGGAGGAACACCGAUGGCGAAGGCAGAUCUCUGGGCCGUUACUGACGCUGAGGAGCGAAAGCGUGGGGAGCGAACAG